UACGUAGGGGGCUAGCGUUGUCCGGAAUCAUUGGGCGUAAAGGGCGCGUAGGCGGUCUGCUAAGCGUGUGGUGAAAGCUCGGGGCUCAACCCCGCGUCGGCCAUGCGAACUGGUGGACUGGAGCUUGUCAGAGGCAGGCGGAAUUCCGGGUGUAGCGGUGGAAUGCGUAGAGAUCCGGAAGAACACCGGUGGCGAAGGCGGCCUGCUGGGACAAUGCUGACGCUGAGGCGCGACAGCGUGGGGAGCAAACAGG
rnacentral:rRNA from 1 species